CUCAUUCUCUCAUUUUCGUCUUCUGCCCUUUCCCCUCUCUCUCUCGACGAGGAAACCCUAGCCGCCGAUCUCCAUCAUUUUUCUUCUCCAUUAGCCUCCGUAUCUUCACCCCUCGACCGCAACCCACCUCUGAGCGGUGGUUACGCCAAAAUUGAGCUUUUGAGCGGCCGAAAUCCACGUUCUCCGUCUCCACCCUCCACCGCGUUCCACCGCCUCUACCCUCCACUGUCUCCACCACCUCCAUCCGCCUCGUACACCAGGAUCCGCAGAUCUGGAAUUUUCUUUCUCUGAGUUUGAUUUCUAAGUUCUUGAUUUGUUGCUGUCAAAUGGGUAGAAGGACGAGAAACGAGAAAUAGGUAGAAUUUAGGGUUCUUGAUUUGUUGAUUUGUGUUUUUUGUUGCUGAAAGUUUCGUUCUUGAUUUUUUGGAAUUUUGUCUCUCAUAAUUUGCCGAAUUGUUGAAGCUUGAAGGUAAAACAUUGGAGAGGUGAGAGAUGUCAGUGGUGCCUGGAGGGGCUUUCACGCCGGAGCUCAGAAAGAGCGGCGAUGGCUGCCGCCGAUGGAGCUUGUGAGGAAGAAGAAGAAGGGUGCGCCGAUGGAGCUCUGCUUUAUCAAUCCCAUCCCUCUCUCUCUAAACACACAUAUAUAAAUUAAAAGUUUCGAUCUUUAGCUCAGUUUCUCACUUUCUUGAUUGCUUCUGCUUGUUCUCUCACUUUUUUGAUUUUCAUAAUGAUAUUUGGCUGCUGAUGUUCGCUGAAUUCAAUUUGAAAAUUUCAAUUUCAAUUUCA
rnacentral:lncRNA from 1 species